rnacentral:lncRNA from 1 species
GCCCUCCCCCCACCAUGGCGCGGAGCGAGGCAGCGGCGGCGGGGCCGGGCCCGGGGCCCCCCCGGGCUGGGUGAGCGCGGCCUGCAGCGGCCCGGGAGCGGCGGGCGGGGGCGCGGGUGUGUGCGCGGGUGUGAGCGUGCGAGCGUGCGAGUGUGUGUCCGUGGCGCUGCGGCGGGCCCGGCGUGCGCCCGCGCGGCCCUAUGUGUGCCCGGUGCCGGCGUGUGCGGCGCCCUGCCCGUGUGGCCAUCGGGUGUGCGCGGGGUGUCGAGCCCGGCCGGCGUGUCCGGCUGUGCACGCGUGUCCCCCCGAGCGGCCGCCCCUCCGGCUGUGUGUCUGGGCGCUGUCGCGCGCCCAUCGGAGGGGCUGUGUGCAGGUGUGUGUGUGCGUGGGUUGUGUGCCCAGGUGUGGGUCCCCCCCAAGCCCAUGUGCGUGCGCGACUAGCUGCUCUGGGUGUUUGUGUCCGGGUUGGAUGUCCAUCCCCGGGUCUGUGGAGCCGGGUGUGCCCGCUCGGGUGUCCAUUUGUGUGUGUGUGUGUGUGUGUGUGUGUGUGUGUGUGUCUGCGGGUUGUAUGUCUCCGAGGGUGUGUAUCUGUGAGUCCACGGCAGGUUGCUGGCUUGGGGGCUGAGGCUCGGCGCCCAGGCCUCGGUGUGGAUUUGGGGGAGGGGAGUUCGCCGCUCCCUCGGUCCAUGUCAACUGGGGGGUCCUUAGCGGUCCUGGGGGAAGCGGCCAUGUCUUCCCCUUCCCGGUGGUUGCGGGGGGGGGAUGGGCGGCCAGGAGGUGGACAGAUGGAGGGGGGAUGAGAGGCCGAGAAAUGGACAGAUGGGCCCUGAGGUGGGGGUUGGGGGGCGAAGACCCGGCCCUUCCCCACCCACUCCACCCUAAUUCCCCCACCGGCCAGACAUCUGCAGACGGAGCCAGAGUUACCUCCAUCCUGAUGGCCAGGCUGGGGAACCUUUGGGGCUGCUGGUGGGAGGAUCUCCUUGAAACGGUGAUCUAGGACUCAAACCCCCAAAUCCUCUUGAGUUUCCACCUGCUGAACUCUGACCUCUGGCCUGGCUUUUGCCCUGGUUUUUUGGGGGUGUGGAGGGCAGGAUGCUGAAUGUGCUGCAGGGAUGUUAGGAUUUCUUGGGCCUGGGAAGUAAGUAGGUGGGGUGGUGGGGGGGUGCCUCAGGGCUGGGAGGAAUGUGUGUCCAAGACUGUGUGAGUGUGAAUCUGGGCCUGUCUACUGACUGUGCUACUGUGGUUCAGUAUUUUCUAUGCAUUUGGAAGUGUGUAAAUCACAGGACUGUUGUGUGAGCAUGUGUCUGUUAUGAGUGAACAUCUUGGCGUGUCUGCAAAGGUGGAUCUUUUUGUGCCUGUGUGCGUGUUCCAGUGUGGAUCAGCCUCGUAUCUGUAUGCUUGUGGUUUUGUGUGUGUGUGUGUGUGUGUGAGGUAUGUAUCUGUUAGCGUGGUGCUGUAUCAACUUUGCAACAUGGAGAUGUGUGAAGUAUGAGUGUGUCUAGGCAUUUAAGAGUGUGCACUUGUGUAUGUUUGCACAGGUGUGUGUGUGUUUGUUAGAUGUGUGUGCCCCUGUGUGCUGGUGAGUGUGCAAGGUAGAUCUGUUGUAAAUGCAUGUACCUGGUUGUCUGUUAGGGGGCACAUGAGUUUCUCUGUUGUAUCUGUGCAUUUGUGUGUGUGAACUUGCAUGGCAGAGUCAGUGUUGUACAUGUAUUGUUGCAUGCAGGUGUGUCAACCUUGAGGGUAUGUAUCCAUCUAUGUUGUGAGUCUGUUUGUGUUUUGGUGUUGGUCUCUGGGGGUUGUGUAUGUUCAGACAUGUAUGUGAAAGACACAUGUGUCUGUGCCCUGGCACAAGGCUGUCCCUACUCUUGGGUUCAGUGGGUUUGAGGCCCAUGUGGCAUGACCUCUGGUAUACUGGGGUCCCGCCUGGGGUCCCUGGACACAGUGUGUCCAUAUGCCAGGCCAAGUGCCCAUAGAGGGCGGAGGGCACACAGAUCAUGUUGCUAUGUUCAUAGAAAUCCAGAUGUAGAGACUUGGGUUGUGGGCUUGCGUGGGUUCUGACAUGGACACACAUGUUGGUGUGGGCAAUAGUAUCAUGGCAAGGAUGGGAAACUUUGGCCCUUCCCCAGCUCUUGGUACCGUUCAGGACUUUGGAGUUGAGGGGCUGGGAUGUAAACUCUUGGGUUCUAAUGGAGGGCCAGAGGUCUGGUCUGGACUCUUGGGUCAGAGGGAAGAGGGGGCUGGGGUUCUUGGCUCCUGAAACCCCAGAGGACAAAGGGCUAAAGUCCUCGACUCCUGGGCUUUGGAGGGUGAACAACCCUGAGGCCUAAUCUAGGAUUCCAGAGAGGACUUCUGGGUUCCUGUGAGACUAUGCAAAACCCGCCACAGGAGGACUGAGAGCGUGAUCACACCAGGGACUUCCUUGGCCGGGAUGGUCUCCAAGGCAAGAUCUGGUGCACAGAGAAGAGCCAGAACGAUGCUAACAAGGUGGUUCUGUUCCUUUGCAGGUGCUGGCCCAGGCCCUGACUCCCUGAAGAGAGAUGAAGAAACCGAGAAUCAGAGAGGUUCAGAUACUUGCUGGAGGUCACACAGCUGGUCUCACCUCCCACCCCUCCUGCCUUCCCACUGCACCAUGGCUCCAGGACCCUUCUCCUCGGCCCUCCUCUCGCCGCCGCCCGCUGCCCUGCCCUUUCUGCUGCUGCUCUGGGCGGGGGCAUCUCGUGGCCAGCCCUGCCCCGGCCGCUGCAUCUGCCAGAACGUGGCGCCCACACUGACAAUGCUGUGCGCCAAGACCGGCUUGCUCUUUGUGCCGCCCGCCAUCGACCGGCGCGUGGUGGAGCUGCGGCUCACCGACAACUUCAUCGCCGCCGUGCGCCGCCGAGACUUCGCCAACAUGACCAGCCUGGUGCACCUCACUCUCUCCCGGAACACCAUCGGCCAGGUGGCAGCUGGCGCCUUCGCCGACCUGCGUGCCCUCCGGGCCCUGCACCUGGACAGCAACCGCCUGGCGGAGGUGCGCGGCGACCAGCUCCGCGGCCUGGGCAACCUCCGCCACCUGAUCCUUGGAAACAACCAGAUCCGCCGGGUGGAGUCGGCGGCCUUUGACGCCUUCCUGUCCACCGUGGAGGACCUGGAUCUGUCCUACAACAACCUGGAGGCCCUGCCGUGGGAGGCGGUGGGCCAGAUGGUGAACCUAAACACCCUCACGCUGGACCACAACCUCAUCGACCACAUCGCGGAGGGGACCUUCGUGCAGCUUCACAAGCUGGUCCGUCUGGACAUGACCUCCAACCGCCUGCAUAAACUCCCGCCCGACGGGCUCUUCCUGAGGUCGCAGGGCACCGGGCCCAAGCCGCCCACCCCGCUGACCGUCAGCUUCGGCGGCAACCCCCUGCACUGCAACUGCGAGCUGCUCUGGCUGCGGCGGCUGACCCGCGAGGACGACUUAGAGACCUGCGCCACGCCCGAACACCUCACCGACCGCUACUUCUGGUCCAUCCCCGAGGAGGAGUUCCUGUGUGAGCCCCCGCUGAUCACACGGCAGGCGGGGGGCCGGGCCCUGGUGGUGGAAGGCCAGGCGGUGAGCCUGCGCUGCCGAGCGGUGGGUGACCCCGAGCCGGUGGUGCACUGGGUGGCACCUGAUGGGCGGCUGCUGGGGAACUCCAGCCGGACCCGGGUCCGGGGGGACGGGACGCUGGAUGUGACCAUCACCACCUUGAGGGACAGUGGCACCUUCACUUGUAUCGCCUCCAAUGCUGCUGGGGAAGCGACGGCGCCCGUGGAGGUGUGCGUGGUACCUCUGCCUCUGAUGGCACCCCCGCCGGCUGCCCCGCCGCCUCUCACCGAGCCCGGCUCCUCUGACAUCGCCACGCCGGGCAGACCAGGUGCCAACGAUUCUGCGGCUGAGCGUCGGCUCGUGGCAGCCGAGCUCACCUCGAACUCCGUGCUCAUCCGCUGGCCAGCCCAGAGGCCUGUGCCCGGAAUACGCAUGUACCAGGUUCAGUACAACAGUUCCGUUGAUGACUCCCUCGUCUACAGGUGGGUGCGGGUGCUGCAGUCCCAGGGCCUCCUCCCAAGCCCAGGGGGACCCUCCCUCCCACCUGCCCAUUCCCUUGGCCUUCUUGCUCAGCCAGGGUUCUAGAUGGCUGUGAGAGCUGUUCCCGCCCUCCUUUGCCCUGUCUCCUCUCUCUAUUUCUCACUGUCUCUGUUUUUCGUGCUUAUAGAAAAUAUUCGCUGAGCACCUACAUGAACCCGACCAGGGCUGGGCACUGGAGUCCUAACAGUGACUGAGCUCAGCAUGAACCCUGCCCUCAUGGGGCUCAUGGUCGAUAUCACUGCUCCCCACAACAAUCUGAUUGUGCACCUCUUCAGUUAAACAUUUUGGAGCAUGAAACACACACACACAUUUACAGUGACAUUUAUUUAUUUGUUUGUUUUGAGACUGAGCCUUACUCUAUUGCCCAGGCUGGAGUGCAGUGGCACGAACUCAGCUCACUGAAACCCUCCGCCUCCCGGGUUCAAGCGAAUCUCGUCCCUCAGCCUCCCAAGUAGCUGGGAUUACAGAUACCCACCAACACACCCAGCUAAGUUUUGUAUUUUUAGUAGAGACAGGAUUUUACCAUGUUGGGCAGGCUGGUCUUGAACUCCUGACCUCAAGUGAUCCGCCUGCCUUGGCCUCCUAAAUUGCUGGGAUUACAGGUGUGAGCCACCGUGCCUAGCCUACAGCGACAUUUAUAUUUAUAAAUUAUAUACCAGUACUACUGAACCAACACAUUGGGUACAUUACAGAAACAGAAAACAAAACGUAUGAGAAAAAUAUGUUAUUUCCACCCUCACUUGGGUUUGAAGCCAUUGCCCUGGUGGGGACAGACCAUACGGUGUCAACAGACAUUUUAAAAAAAGAGUUAUUUUCUCCCAUCGCCUCCUUAUUUCUCCUUUCACCUCUCUGUCUGUCUCUACCUUCUCUGCCCUCGUUAGGCACAGAGCCCCUGCUUUGUGCAAACUCCUGAGCUGGGUGCUGGGGACACAGGGAAACCACCCAGACCCUGUCCUCAGGGAGCUUAUAGCCCAGUAGGUCGUGGUCCAUAGUACACUAUGAGUUGCAGUCCUGGCCUUGCCAUGUCUCUCCAUCUCAGUAGUUUUUUUUUUUCUUUUUCUUUUUUUUUUUUGGCAGGGUCUUGCUCUGUCACCCCAGGCUGGAGUGCAGUGGUAUGAUCAUAGCUCACUGCAGCCUCAAACUUUUGGGCUCCAAGCAAUCCUCCUACCUCCUGAGAGUAGCUGGGACUAUAGGUGUGCACCACCACACUGGGCUAAUUUAAAAAAAUUUUUAGUAGAGAUGAGGUCUUGCUAUAUUGCCCAGACAGGUCUUGAACUCCUGGGCUGAAGUGAUCCUCCUGCCUUGGCCUCCCAAAGUGCUGGGAUUACAGGUGUGAGCCGCUGCACCUGGCCCAUCUUGGUAGUUUUUUAGUAUGGCUCUCUGCCACAGAAUUGUCACACAGUAGGCACUUGAUAAAUGGUAGUUUGCCACAUGGAUGUCUCUCCUUCUAGCUCUGCCUCCCUCAUGCACAUUGUAGAGCACCAGUUAAAUGCUUCAGUCAUCUGCUUGGCUUCACCUGGAGAUGCCAGCGGGGCUGGAGCUGUUUCCCUACCUGUGGAGAGCCCCAGCUCCUGGCUGUCAGAUCUUCACCGAGAAACCUGCCUCUUGGCCUCCAUCUCUGCCUUUCCAGUGUUUUCUUGGCCAUAGGUGUGGCACAUAGUAGGUGCUUUCCCAGUGUUGGUUGAAUGAAAAAAAUGCCUCUUGGCCGGGCGCGAUGGCUCAUGCCUAUAAUCCCAGCAUUUUGGGAGGCUGAGGCGGGCGGAUCACUUGAGGUCAGGAGUUCAAGACCAGCCUGGCCAACAUGGUGAAACCCUGUCUCUACGGAAAAUACAAAAAUUAGGCAGAUGUGGUGGCACGUGCCUGUAAUCCCAGCUACUCAGGAGGCUGAGGCAGGAGAAUCGCUUGAACCUGGGAGGCGGAGGUUGCAGUGAGCGGAGAUUGCGCCAUUGGGUGACAGAGCGAGACUCCCUCUGGAAAAAAAAAAAAAAAAAAAAAAAGCCUCCCUUUUCUUUUGUCUCUGUCUUCCUCAUUUCCCUCUCUUUUUGAUUCUGGUCCCAAACACUGAGUAGAUGCCUACUGUGUGCCCAUCUUGUGUUGGGCCCUGGGCCUACUGAGAUAGGUUAGAUCCUGGCCCAGCCUUACAAACAUGAGGACAAACAAAUGAACAAAACACAAACCUUCACAACGAACUUCCAAGCUUGAUCUUCCCAGCUCCGCUAUGAAGGCGUGAUGACCCCCUCUCCAUUUCAAAGACAGAAAAACUGAGGUUCAGUGGGGGAUGUCACUUGCCCAAGGUCACACAGAAAGUAGCAAAGCUGUCCUUUAUACACUGACACACAUUUGUUGGGCACCCACUGCUUGGAAGGGAGAUGGAUAAUAUAUUUCUGUAAAUAAUUCUGAGCUUCUGUGACUCUCCACUUCUCUGUCCCUCUCUUUCCUUUGCUCUGAGCCAUGGCCACCACAUGGUGGGGUGGGGGAGGUUCACAAGCCCCCAGACCCUGCAUGGAUGCAGAUGUUGAUGGCCCCCUGUCCCCAGCUGGGCAACAGACCCUGGGACUCUUCUCUUCCCUGUAGGGCCCCAGUUCCAGUUCUCCAACCCCCAUUGCAGAUUCCUAUGCUAUGGUGCCGCAGGGGUUAACUUCCUCACGCUGUCAUGGGCGGAGGUGGCAGCCAACCAGAAGCCUGCUUAGCUGCUUGCUUUAAUUCUGCAGCCAAUUAGAGACACUUGGGCUGAAGCUUUCUUAAGGAGCCAGCCUCUGUCCUUGAAAAGGGGUGGGGGAAGCCCCUAGCAACUGGCUAUUUAGGGGAAGGAGCAAGUGGAAUCCAGGGCUCUGGAGAGGAGAGAUGAAGAGAGGAGGAGGAAGGCUUAAAGCCAGGGCAGCCGAGGGUGGCUGGGGUGGGUGGCAGUGGUCUUUGAAAUGGCAGUCAGGGGUGGGUAGAGUGGAGUUGGAGAAGUGGGUGGACCUUUAUGAAGGGGCGGGGCCCUGAUUGGAAGUCUUUUGGUGGGAGGGUGGCUCUUGGUAGUGGGAGAACCUCCUGGAGGUGGGAUGACAGAGGUGGAGCUUCAGGGCCAGAAGGUGGCUCUGCUGGAGGGGAAGCGGAAGCAUCGGAGAGAUAAGCAGGCCUUCGGAGGUGGGGAUGUGGCCUGUCAGAGGGGGUGGAGCUUGUUCUGCAUGGUCCCACGAAGAGGAAGGGGCAGUCCUUGUCUCCCGGGACCCACCAAGAGUCUUUGCUGGAGAAGAGAGCUUGUGAGGUUGCAUCCUGGCCAUGCCAAUCAAUGUGGAACGGGCAGUCCAGGUUUAGCUGAGGCUGGACAUGGCCCACAGUGUGGAAACGAUGUGCUCAACAGAAGAGGGCCAAGGCCUAGCAGGAAUGGCCCUCCAGAGGGGUAGAUCUUAUAGAUGGGAGGAAUGCAAUGGGCUGGAUAGUGUGAGCCACAGCAAGGGUUACUGGCCAACACGAGGUGUGAUGCAAGCUAAUGAUGAUAUCAUUAAGUGCCAGGUCCUGGCUGUGUUAACUCAUUCAUUCCUCACACCAUCUCUAUGAUGUAGGAAUUAUUAUCAUCCCCAUUUGGGGAAAAUGAGACACAGGGAGGUUAAGAAACUUGGCGAAGUUCGCCGGGCGUGGUGGUUCAUGACUGUAAUCCCAGCACUUUGGGAGAUCGAGGCGGAUGGAUCACCUGAGGUCAGAAGUUUGAGACCAGCUUGGCCAACGUGGCGAAACCCCAUCUCUACUAAAAAUACAAAAAUUAGCCAGGUGUGGUGGUGGGUGCCUGUAAUCUCAGCUGUCCGGGAGGCUGAGGCAGGAGAAUCACUUGAACCCGGAAGGCAGAGAUUGCAGUGAGCCGAGAUCGCGUCAUUGUACUCCAGCCUGGGUGACACAGCGAGAGUCUGUCUCAAACAAAACAAAAUGAAACAAAAGAGAAACUUGCCUGAGGUCACAGAGCAAGCAAGUGGCAGAGGAGAGACUCAAACCCGGGCAAUCUGGCCCCCAGCCUUUGUCAUCUUAACCACUUCUCUACACUAGUCUUCAUUCGAGGGGAGGGGCCUACAGCAAGAAAGGAAUAUGGUGUGUGCUUGGCUACGUUUGACCCCUUUACGGAAGAAACUUACCUGGUAGCGUGAUUUGGUGACUUCUGGUGGCACAUGAACAUAUGAGGUGGUUGCCUUUAAUAUCUGGACAAGGAGCAGGGCCUGUAGUCUGGAUGUGGCCUAUACACAGUAGGGGAACCAUCCUUAGUGGGCCAUUGUGGGGUGUGCCUGGAAGCCACAUUUCAUUUGGUUGGGGAAUGGCCUGUAGCAAUGUCAGGGAACAUGUAGUUAAGGG